rnacentral:lncRNA from 1 species
AUUAUAUUGUAUGUAUUCACUUAAAUAGAUUAAUUAAAGUUGUGUGGAAAUGAUCUUUUUCUCCAUAUCCUUUGAAAGAGAAAAAAAAUAACAACACUUACAAGAUAUAAUCGAUAUACUUCUCUAUUAGUAAAAAAUAAAAAGUAAGGCAAAUAGAUAUAUCAAAGUAUGAUACAAAUCAUAUACGAGUAACAAAAUUGUAAUGUUCAAAAAAUUAUUAGAAAUAUGAAUGACUUAUAUUAAUUUUAUAACUUCAUUCCAUGGAUGAUCACAAUAUAUAACACCUAUUUGAAAUGCAUUUCAUAACAUGGGUGGAACAUUCAAGAAAUGGACAAUCGUUGCCAUGACUACAAUAGUGAUCUAUGAUGAAAAGUAAGAGUAAAGAAAUGUUAGUUAUCUUUAGCGAAACACAAUAUAUUAGUUAAAAAGAUUUAUUUUAAAGUAUGAAAAAAAUAUAUUACAAUCAUAGAUUUGAGCACAAAUAAUUGAAACAAACAAGAUCAUAGCAUAAACAAUCUUGAUAAAUUUGGUCAUAGUUUCUCUCCUUUUCAUGCAAAUGAU